AGUGAACGCUGGCGGUAGGCCUAACACAUGCAAGUCGAACGGCAGCACAGUAAGAGCUUGCUCUUACGGGUGGCGAGUGGCGGACGGGUGAGGAAUACAUCGGAAUCUACUUUUUCGUGGGGGAUAACGUAGGGAAACUUACGCUAAUACCGCAUACGACCUUCGGGUGAAAGCAGGGGAUCUUCGGACCUUGCGCGAUUGAAUGAGCCGAUGUCGGAUUAGCUAGUUGGCGGGGUAAAGGCCCACCAAGGCGACGAUCCGUAGCUGGUCUGAGAGGAUGAUAGGCCACACUGGAACUGAGACACGGUCCAGACUCCUACGGGAGGCAGCAGUGGGGAAUAUUGGGCAAUGGGCGCAAGCCUGAUCCAGCCAUACCGCGUGGGUGAAGAAGGCCUUCGGGUUGUAAAGCCCUUUUGUUGGGAAAGAAAAGCAGCAGGUUAAUACCCCGCUGUUCUGACGGUACCCAAAGAAUAAGCACCGGCUAACUUCGUG
rnacentral:rRNA from 1 species